rnacentral:pre_miRNA from 1 species
CAUGUACUCCCUCCGUUCGGAAUUACUUGUCUCGGAAAUGGAUGUAUCUAGAACUAGAAUACAUCUAGAUACAUCCAUUUCUGCGACAAGUAAUUUCGAACGGAGGGAGUAUAUA